UGUCCCCGAGGGGAAAUUCUUUUUCACAGCACUGUUACUGUCCAAAAGACAGGUCCCACCAAAGAACAUUUAUACCCAGAGAAUAACACAACAAACAGAGUUAGACAACGGUUAAGAUUUCCCAUUUCUGGCCUGUUCAGCGAGGCCUUUUGUUCGGGGCCGUUAUUACAGCGGGGAUCAGGCUCCUCCCGAGGCGAGCCUUUCUGCACCUCAGUGCUCUAUACCUCUGUCCUGAGGGAAGUGGGGCGAGGGACGCGGUCAUGUUUCCUCACCUUUCCUUAUCGACUCUGCUGAGCUUGACCAGUCGAGAGAGAGAGCUACUCGAGAGCGGAUAUACAAAAGAAGCAGAGGGACCAGCAGCAAUGGGAAUCAAACUGUACUACACCACCGUUACAGCCUCACGGACGGUGAGUGAAGUGGCCGUAACUAAAUGAACUUACCUGUGUGUCGGUGUUUCUCAGCACCGCUGGCAGCACCCUGCACAGUCCUGCAGACACACCCAGCAGCACCCUAUCAGUAACAGCGUCCUCCUGACUAACGGUGCAGCGGGCCUGUGCUGUUCAGCCUCCUUUUAAAUCGAUAUUGUCAGCAUUAAUAUGGGGGGCCUGGGUACCUACCUCAAAGAAAAGAAAAGUUAUCGGCCGAAAGUUGAAUGUAAUAAAAGAUCUCACUGAAACGA